rnacentral:miRNA from 1 species
UUUGUAGGAGGAAAAAGUG